AGGACGAACGCUGGCGGCGUGCUUAACACAUGCAAGUCGAGCGGUAAGGCCUUUCGGGGUACACGAGCGGCGAACGGGUGAGUAACACGUGGGUGAUCUGCCCUGCACUCUGGGAUAACGCCUGGGAAACUGGGUCUAAUACCGGAUAUGACCUGCUCUCGCAUGGGGGGUGGGUGGAAAGAUUUAUCGGUGCAGGAUGGGCCCGCGGCCUAUCAGCUUGUUGGUGGGGUAAUGGCCUACCAAGGCGACGACGGGUAGCCGACCUGAGAGGGUGACCGGCCACACUGGGACUGAGACACGGCCCAGACUCCUACGGGAGGCAGCAGUGGGGAAUAUUGCACAAUGGGCGAAAGCCUGAUGCAGCGACGCCGCGUGAGGACGAAGGCCUUCGGGUUGUAAACCUCUUUCAGCAGGACGAAGCGCAAGUGACGGUACCUGCAGAAGAAGCACCGGCUAACUACGUGCCAGCAGCCGC
rnacentral:rRNA from 1 species